rnacentral:rRNA from 1 species
GAGCGGCGGACGGGUGAGUAACGCGUGGGUGACCUGCCCCAUACCGGGGGAUAACAGCUGGAAACGGCUGCUAAUACCGCAUAAGCGCACAGAGCUGCAUGGCUCAGUGUGAAAAACUCCGGUGGUAUGGGAUGGGCCCGCGUCUGAUUAGGCAGUUGGCGGGGUAACGGCCCACCAAACCGACGAUCAGUAGCCGGCCUGAGAGGGCGACCGGCCACAUUGGGACUGAGACACGGCCCAAACUCCUACGGGAGGCAGCAGUGGGGAAUAUUGC